AGUGAACGCUGGCGGUAGGCCUAACACAUGCAAGUCGAACGGCAGCACAGUAAGAGCUUGCUCUUACGGGUGGCGAGUGGCGGACGGGUGAGGAAUACAUCGGAAUCUACUUUUUCGUGGGGGAUAACGUAGGGAAACUUACGCUAAUACCGCAUACGACCUACGGGUGAAAGCAGGGGAUCUUCGGACCUUGCGCGAUUGAAUGAGCCGAUGUCGGAUUAGCUAGUUGGCGGGGUAAAGGCCCACCAAGGCGACGAUCCGUAGCUGGUCUGAGAGGAUGAUCAGCCAAACUGGAACUGAGACACGGUCCAGACUCCUACGGGAGGCAGAGUGGGGAAUAUUGGACAAUGGGCGCAAGCCUGAUCCAGCCAUACCGCGUGGGUGAAGAAGGCCUUCGGGUUGUAAAGCCCUUUUGUUGGGAAAGAAAAGCAGCAGGUUAAUACCCCGCUGUUCUGACGGUACCCAAAGAAUAAGCACCGGCUAACUUCGUG
rnacentral:rRNA from 1 species